rnacentral:rRNA from 1 species
CCGUAGACAAUUACAGCUAAUACAUGCAUCAAGACUCUAUGAGGUUGUAAUUAUUAGUACUAAACCAAUUGCUUCGGCAAUGUGAUGAAUCAUAGUAAUCGAACGAAUCGCAGAAUUCUGCGAUAAAUCAUUCAAGUUUCUGCCCUAUCAGCUUUGGAUGGUAGUGUAUUGGACUACCAUGGCAAUCACGGGUAACGGAGAAUUAGGGUUCGAUUCCGGAGAGGGAGCCUGAGAAACGGCUACCACAUCUACGGAAGGCAGCAGGCGCGAAAAUUGCCCAAUCCUGAUUCAGGGAGGCAGUGACAAGAAAUAACAACUUUCAACUUUGUUGAAAAGUGUAAUGAGGAUAAUUUACAAACCUUACCGAAAGCAAUUGGAGGGCAAGUCUGGUGCCAGCAGCCGCGGUAAUUCCAGCUCCAAAAGCGUAUAUUAAAGUUGUUGCAGUUAAAAAGCUCGUAGUUGAAGUUCUGGCUGUAUUGGGCCUCUGCACUCGAUGCGGAGGAACCAGCA